rnacentral:rRNA from 1 species
UACGAAGGGGGCAAGCGUUGUUCGGAAUUACUGGGCGUAAAGGGCGCGUAGGCGGCCGAUCAAGUCAGGCGUGAAAUUCCCGGGCUCAACCUGGGGGCUGCGCUUGAUACUGAUUGGCUUGAAUGCGGGAGAGGAUAGUGGAAUUCCCAGUGUAGAGGUGAAAUUCGUAGAUAUUGGGAAGAACACCGGUGGCGAAGGCGGCUAUCUGGCCCGUAAUUGACGCUGAGGCGCGAAAGCUAGGGGAGCAAACGGG